rnacentral:rRNA from 1 species
CAGCCGCCGCGGUAAUACGUAGGGGGCAAGCGUUAUCCGGAAUUACUGGGUGUAAAGGGAGCGUAGACGGUUAAACAAGUCUGAAGUGAAAUGCCGGGGCUCAACCCCGGAGCUGCUUUGGGAACUGUAGAACUGGAGUGUCGGAGGGGUAAGCGGAAUUCCCAGUGUAGCGGUGAAAUGCGUAGAUAUUGGGAGGAACACCGGCGGCGAAGGCGGCUUACUGGACGACAACUGACGUUGAGGCUCGAAGGCGUGGGUAGCAAACAGGAUUAGAUACCCGGGUAGUCCCUGUCUCUUAUAC